rnacentral:tRNA from 1 species
GGGGCCGUCGUCUAGCUUGGUAGGAUGCCAGGCUUGGGCCCUGGUGGUCGUGGGUUCAAAUCCCGCCGGCCCCAC